UACUAUACCAGCAACACGUACAGUGGGCCUAAUACCUCCAUCUAAUUCUAUACCAGCAACACGUACAGUGGGCCUAGUACAUCCAUCUAAUACUAUACCAGCAACACGUACAGUGGGCCUAAUACAUCCAUCUAAUACUAUACCAGCAACACGUACAGUGGGCCUAAUACAUCCAUCUAAUACUAUACCAGCAACACGUACAGUGGGCCUAAUACAUCCAUCUAAUACUAUACCAGCAACACGUACAGUGGGCCUAAUACAUCCAUCUAAUACUAUACCAGCAACACGUACAGUGGGCCUACAUAACAAACGUUACAUCACUGAUUCAAUUCAACACAACUUUAUCAAUCGCGUCAAGGGCAACCCAGAAAGCAUAGUCGGACACAGAACACAUUACUUUAGACAUUCAGACUGUACAGGUGUAGAAGUGCAAUACAUUACGUGAAACAGAACAAGUUACUCUGAGACGCUUGAUACAUACAUGUACGGCCCCUGAAGAUGUUUGUAAGACAAACAUGUUGGAUGGAUGAGAGAGGAGGUGUUAGAUGUUGUGAUUACAGGGAUGCUCCUCAGGGAGAGGAGGUGUUAGAUGUUGUGAUUACAGGGAUGCUCCUCAGGGAGAGGAGGUGUUAGAUGUGAUUACAGGGAUGCUCCUCAGGGAGAGGUGGUGUUAGAUGUUGUGAUUACAGGGAUGCUCCUCAGGGAGAGGUGGUGUUAGAUGUGAUUUGCAGAGAGGUUCUUCAGGGAGAGGUGGUGUUAGAUGUGAUUUGCAGAGAGGUUCUUCAGGGAGAGGUGGUGUUAGAUGUGAUUUGCAGAGAGGUUCUUCAGGGAGAGGUGGUGUUAGAUGU
rnacentral:lncRNA from 1 species